UCAGUGAAACUCAACCUCAGUACUUCCAGGUGAAUAUAUACAGCACCUGAUAAGGCUGAGGUAUUGUACCACUAAAC
rnacentral:pre_miRNA from 1 species